rnacentral:rRNA from 1 species
UACGUAGGGGGCAAGCGUUAUCCGGAAUCACUGGGUGUAAAGGGAGCGUAGACGGCUGAGCAAGCCUGAAGUGAAAGGCGGGGGCCCAACCCCCGGACUGCUUUGGAAACUGUAUAGCUAGAGUGCAGGAGAGGUAAGUGGAAUUCCUAGUGUAGCGGUGAAAUGCGUAGAGAUUAGGAAGAACACCAGUGGCGAAGGCGACUUACUGGACUGUAACUGACGCUGAGGCACGAAAGUGUGGGGAGCAAACAGG